GAUGAACGCUGGCGGCGUGCCUAAUACAUGCAAGUCGAGCGAACGGACGAGAAGCUUGCUUCUCUGAUGUUAGCGGCGGACGGGUGAGUAACACGUGGAUAACCUACCUAUAAGACUGGGAUAACUUCGGGAAACCGUAGCUAAUACCGGAUAAUAUUUUGAACCGCAUGGUUCAAAAGUGAAAGACGGUCUUGCUGUCACUUAUAGAUGGAUCCGCGCUGCAUUAGCUAGUUGGUAAGGUAACGGCUUACCAAGGCAACGAUGCAUAGCCGACCUGAGAGGGGGAUCGGCCACCCUGGACCUGAGCCACGGUCCAGACUCCUACGGAAGGCAGCAGUAGGGAAUCUUCCGCAAUGGGCGAAAGCCUGACGGAGCAACGCCGCGUGAGUGAUGAAGGUCUUCGGAUCGUAAAACUCUGUUAUUAGGGAAGAACAUAUGUGUAAGUAACUGUGCACAUCUUGACGGUACCUAAUCAGAAAGCCACGGCUAACUACGU
rnacentral:rRNA from 1 species